rnacentral:ncRNA from 1 species
UACGAAGCAAGCGACAAGAUGAGUAAGUUUUGCAUGGCCUUUAGAGAGUUACCGUUUGGUGAAAGGUAACGGCUAUGUCCAGCCGAAUAUGGUCUUGAUAAUCGCUCUACUGUUGAACCGUUGUGCUAGGCAGUAGCGGGAACUCCCGUUAUAGAGUUAGGGUAUGCACUGAUAGCAGUAAGUACUGAAUCGCCGUUAGUCAGUACCCAAUGAGGAAUAUUUCCGCGAGGAGUAUUCGAACUAAGGUGGUAGCACGAUUAAGUCGUCCUUUUA